UAUUAACAUAGAUGUGAUCACGUGAAAGGAUGCGUUCCAAAGUUUGAACUUUACGGAGAUGUCAAUUAUACAACGAGUUCAGAGGUGGAAAACUAUUCCGAAUCAAUGACAGUCUUUGAAUUGGAUGUACUUAUCUUCUGGGCUGCAAUAGCUGGUAUACUAGUUAUGAUUGGUGGCUGCUUGGGCUUUAUCUGCAUUUGUAAAAAACGAAACAAGAUAAAUGUAGAUAAUAGCUCAUAUUUACAAGUUAUAAAUGGAUCGUAUGGCACUGUCAUUGAUAACAAUGGAAAUGAAGAUCGCUGCAGUCAGCUCAACCCGUACGUUGGCUUGGUUCCUAAAACCAGCGAUACACAUUACUACAUGUACUAUGAAUAGAGGAAAGAACAACACCAUGAUACAUUAUCCUGUCGUUAUGCAUGUGUAUAUAUUUUAAUAAAUAAUCAAUAGAAACUAAUAUAAUAAUAAAACUUAGAAUUUCUAAAGAUA